UACGAAGGGGGCUAGCGUUGCUCGGAAUCAUCGUGGGCGUAAAGGGUGCGUAGGCGGGUCUUUAAAGUCAGGGGUGAAAUCCUGGGACUCAACUCCAGAACUGCCUUUGAUACUGAGGAUCUUGAGUUCGGGAGAGGUGGAGUGGAACUGCGAGUGUAGAGGUGAAAAUUCGUAGAUAUUCGCAAGAACACCAGUGGCGAAGGCGGCUCACUGGCCCGGUACUAGACGCU
rnacentral:rRNA from 1 species